UCUGUAUGAUGUAAUACAAUAGCUCUAUGUGAACACAUAGUGUGCACUUUACUCAAAGAGGAGUGAGGAGGAGGAUAAAUGAUAGA
rnacentral:snoRNA from 1 species